CCUACGGGAGGCAGCAGUGAGGAAUAUUGGUCAAUGGUCGUGAGCCUGAACCAGCCAAGUCGCGUGAAGGAAGACGGUCCUAUGGAUUGUAAACUUCUUUUGCCCGGGAGCAAAAAGCGGUACGUGUACCGCUUCGAGAGUACCCGGUGAAUAAGCAUCGGCUAACUCCGUGCCAGCAGCCGCGGUAAUACGGAGGAUGCGAGCGUUAUCCGGAUUUAUUGGGUUAAAAGGGUGCGUAGGCGGCGUGUUAAGUCUGCGGUAAAAUUCCGGGGCUCAACCCCGACAAGCCGUGGAAACUGGCUUGCUAGAGUGGGCGAGAAGUAUGCGGAAUGCGUGGUGUAGCGGUGAAAUGCAUAGAUAUCACGCAGAACUCCGAUUGCGAAGGCAGCAUACCGGCGCCCAACUGACGCUCAGGCACGAAAGCGUGGGUAUCGAACAGGAUUAGAUACCCCUGUAGUC
rnacentral:rRNA from 1 species